rnacentral:lncRNA from 1 species
UUUCCAGGUUGGAGGGAAGCCUUUGGGCCACAUGGUAGGCAGUGGUAGCAAGUGGCACCUUCAGCCCAAGAGAGCUAGGCCAGCCAGAGAGGCCAGGGCUGGGUGGCGGGGGUGGGCCCAAUGGUGCAGCUGGGCUUCGGUGCUGUCAGGCCACAUCCAUGGGCAACUGAUGGUUGCAGCAAUGACUGGAGCACACCAUGGGCUAGCGAGAUGCGGAGUGAGGCAUGGAAAUGUUUGCUACAUUGCACCUCUUCAGUCCCCUCUGUUGCCCACCCCUCCCUACCCCUCC